rnacentral:rRNA from 1 species
CUAAGGUAGCAUAGUCAUUUGUUAUUUAAUUGGUAACUGGAAUGAAAGGUUAAACUAGCUUAUUAAGUUUGUAAGGCUAAAUAGAAAUUUAAAGUUAAGGUAAGAAUUCUUUAAUUGUUUAGGGGACGAUAAGACCCUAGAAGCUUAACAAAUAGAGUUUUUGGUUUUAGAAGCUAGUUUGUUUUACUGGGGCGGUAAAAAUAAUUAAGCUAUUUAUUGUUUAUAUGAUCCUUAAAAUAAAGAAAAAGUGGAAAAGUUACUUUAGGGAUAA